CCUUAGAUGUUCUGGGCCGCACGCGUGCUACACUGAGUGGAUCAGCGGGUCAGGUUGCGCGAAAGCGUUUCCUAAUCUUUAAAUCCGCUCGUGAUGGGGAUUGACGGUUGCAAUUUUCUGUCAUGAACGAGGAAUACCUUGUAAGCGCGGGUCAUCAUCCCGCGCUGAAUACGUCCCUGCCCUUUGUACACACCGCCCGUCGCUCCUACCGAUUGAGUGGUCCGGUGAGGCUUUGGGAUCUGAGCGGAAAGAGCGUUUCGCUGUUUCUGCUCGGAAAACUCAGUCGAACCUUAUCAUUUAGAGGAAGGAGAAGUCGUAACA
rnacentral:rRNA from 1 species